CUACGGGGGGCAGCAGUGGGGAAUAUUGCACAAUGGGCGAAAGCCUGAUGCAGCAACGCCGCGUGAGGGACGACGGCCUUCGGGUUGUAAACCUCUUUUAGCAGGGAAGAAGCGAAAGUGACGGUACCUGCAGAAAAAGCACCGGCUAACUACGUGCCAGCAGCCGCGGUAAUACGUAGGGUGCAAGCGUUGUCCGGAAUUAUUGGGCGUAAAGAGCUCGUAGGCGGUUUGUCGCGUCUGCUGUGAAAAUCCGAGGCUCAACCUCGGACCUGCAGUGGGUACGGGCAAACUAGAGUGCGGUAGGGGAGAUUGGAAUUCCUGGUGUAGCGGUGGAAUGCGCAGAUAUCAGGAGGAACACCAAUGGCGAAGGCAGAUCUCUGGGCCGUAACUGACGCUGAGGAGCGAAAGCGUGGGGAGCGAACAGGAUUAGAUACCCCAGUAGUC
rnacentral:rRNA from 1 species